GCUAACUCUGUGCCAGCAGCCGCGGUAAUACAGAGGGUGCAAGCGUUAAUCGGAAUUACUGGGCGUAAAGCGCACGCAGGCGGUUGGUUAAGUCAGAUGUGAAAGCCCCGGGCUCAACCUGGGAAUUGCAUUUGAAACUGGCCAACUAGAGUACGUGAGAGGGGGGUAGAAUUCCAAGUGUAGCGGUGAAAUGCGUAGAGAUUUGGAGGAAUACCAGUGGCGAAGGCGGCCCCCUGGCACGAUACUGACGCUCAGGUGCGAAAGCGUGGGGAGCAAACAGGAUUAGAUACCCUUGUAGUC
rnacentral:rRNA from 1 species